rnacentral:rRNA from 1 species
UACGUAGGUGGCGAGCGUUGUCCGGAUUUACUGGGCGUAAGGAGCGCGCAGGCGGUCGUGUAAGUCGAAUGUGAAAGCCCCCGGCUCAACUGGGGAGGGUCAUUCGAUACUGCUCGACUCGAAGGCAGGAGAGGGAAGCGGAAUUCCCGGUGUAGUGGUGAAAUGCGUAGAUAUCGGGAGGAACACCAGUGGCGAAGGCGGCUUUCUGGCCUGUUCUUGACGCUGAGGCGCGAAAGCUAGGGGAGCAAACGGG